rnacentral:rRNA from 1 species
GUGGAUGCUAGUCUCAUAGAUUAAGCCAUGCAUGUGUAAGCGAAGCGUAAGUGAAGCGGCGCACGGCUCAGUAACGGGCGGCCUUUGAUCUCCCGGCGUGGAUAACCGCUGUAAAC